rnacentral:rRNA from 1 species
AUUGAACGCUGGCGGCAGGCCUAACACAUGCAAGUCGAACGAGCGGCGGACGGGUGAGUAAUGUAUGGGAAACUGCCCGAUAGAGGGGGAUAACUACUGGAAACGGUAGCUAAUACCGCAUACUAUCGGAUGUACCCAUAUGGGAUUAGCUAGUAGGUGGGGUAAAGGCUCACCUAGGCGACGAUCCCUAGCUGGUCUGAGAGGAUGACCAGCCACACUGGAACUGAGACACGGUCCAGACUCCUACGGGAGGCAGCAGUGGGGAAUAUUGCACAAUGGGCGCAAGCCUGAUGCAGCCAUGCCGCGUGUAUGAAGAAGGCCUUAGGGUUGUAAAGUACUUUCAGCGGGGAGGCGUUACCCGCAGAAGAAGCACCGGCUAACUCCGUGCCAGCAGCCGCGGUAAUUC